GGCAAUAUGGCCGAGUGGUCUAAGGCGCCAGAAUCAGGCUUCAUUUGGAGUAAUCUGGUCCGAAAGGGCGAGGGUUCGAAUCCCUCUGUUGUCA